CAUUAUCUAGAUAACUAAAUUAGACUGUAUGAUUUAAUUACAAUAAUUUAAAAAUUUGGAGUAAAAAAUUAUGAUAAAUUAAAGUUUGCGAAGAAAGUGUCAUAAUCCUCAUUUUUUCACUUUCCACCUCUGACAUAUAGAAACCUAAUAUAUUUACCUGCUCAAAAUUUUAAAUUGAUGUAUUUAGCACUCUUCCGUCAAGAUUCUAUCACUAUUUCGUUCAUUUCUUAUAAUAAAUAUCAAAAAUGCUCUUUAAAAUAAUAAUAAUAUAUUAAAAAACUUUUUUUUUUCUUAUAAAACAAGUAAGAAUAAUUUAGUCAUUUCAUUUUCUCCACAAACUCCAUAACCAAAUUUUAAAAGGAAAAAAUAUAGGUUUUUGAAUUCAGAGAGAAAAAUAAAAAAGAAGGUAUUUACAGAGGUUUUCUAUAUUUUACCUUUUUUGUAGAUAAUAUCGAAUGCAUCCCUCAAAAUUUCUGAAAUAUCUGAUAUAUUCUUUUUUUUUUAAUUUCAAAUAUACUAAUAUAUUUCUCCAUUAUUCAAAAAUAACUCUGCUGUUAGUACUCGUUAAGUCAUUUUCGGGCUAAAUACUGUUAAAUUUCUACCACAAUUAAAAAGAAGUUAAAAUACCUCUUUUGCUCCCAACUAAGGGUGAAUACAAAAAAAUUGGUGACAGUAGAAGAUUAUAUUUGAAAAGGUGAAAAGUUAAAUAUUUUUUUGUCCUUAACUUAAGGACAAAUAAGAAAUUGAUGACGAUAAAAAGAUAUAUUUGAAAAGCUAAAUUAUAGAAAACCCCCCUAUCAAAAUCCGAUUUUUCACUUUCCCCCUUUGUCAUUUAAAAGCCUACACUUUACCCCUUUGUAAAAUAAAAAAUAUGCACUUCACCCCCUAUCGUUAGUGAUCCGUUAGGGGUCCGUUGUAAAAAAAAAAUUUAUGCCAAAAAUACCCCUCAGCCCUUUUCCCUGUUGCUUCGCUUUCCUCCGCCUCGCCGCCGCCUCGCUGCCUCGCCCUCCUCCACUGCCUCUCCCUCGCCCUCGCCCACAUCUCCAUCCGCGCCCACAAACACCCCUUCGCCCUCCUCUGCCGCCUCGCCCUCAUCGUCGUUCCCCUUGCCUACCUCUCCAUCCGCGUCCAGGUGCGGGAGGAGAAGGGGAACAGGUGGUAAAGAAAAUGGAGAGAAACCGCGGCCGAUCGAGGCGGCGGUUGAGGAAGAUAAAGGAGGAGACAAAAAUAGUGAGGGACAAAAUGGUCAUUUUAUCAUCACAGUACACACCGUACCCCCUGUGAACAUUUUUUAUUUUACAAGGGAGCAAAAUGUAGAUUUUUAAAUGACAGAAGGAAAAAGUGAAAAAUCAGAUUUUGAUAGGACGAUUUUAUAUAAUUUAGCCUAUUCAAAAGGAUAAAAUAGUAAUUUUAGAAAAAUGAUGGCCGUUCAGAAUUCAACUCUUGUGAAAC
rnacentral:lncRNA from 1 species